CAGCUCCAGGCCUUGUCUGCUGGCGACUGGAGAAGCGAGACACGCUGCAUCCGGAAUUCCUAACCUCUGGUUCAAGUAUCCUUGUGAGUUGUCCAUGGAGAGAUUUUAGAAAAUGGAAAAUCCCUCUGAGGAUCAGACAGAUUGAAAAAUCUCCUAAAAUAAGUUGACUUAACUACUCCUCCCUCAGCCUGAAACUAUUUCUGCAUUCCAGAGGUUUCUGGAAGUGGUAGCUUCAAUGGAAUCACAAAAGACGAUGCUGCCGGGGGAUGUCAGGACACAGAGUGUCCCUCAGAUGACGUAUCAGGAAUGUCUGAAAAUAUGUGCAAUAAGGUGAUGGCCUUCAGAGUCCAGGAAUUCAGAAAUAAAUGAGAAGUUUUACAGUCAAAGCAGCUGAGGCUUAUGGAAUGGAGUUAAAGUAAACUUUCUCAAGGUUGCAUGGUUAAUAUGGGUGGAACAAGAAUUCAGAAAUGCCUGCUCUAGUUUCGGAAACCAGACUCGUAAGACAAUCAGCAGUUCCAGGUGCUCUAAUAAUGCUGCAUCCGGAUGGACUGAAAAAUGGCUCUUGAAUCUGACAGGAAGAAGACAUAUUGAGUUGGCAUAACAUGAAGAAGAACACAUUAUAAUAGUGUAAAGACACAGCACAUGAGAUAAAGUAUUCUGUGGUUAUAACAGUCCUAAUAAAGAGCAGGCUCAAGUCACGAAACACUGCAACAGUGAAGAUAAUGUCACUUCCUAACAGAUAAUCUCUAAAAAUGCUUUAAAAUGACUAAGUGAAAAAUAAAAUCUUAGAGGCUUAGUAAGAUAAAUAUUCCAAGCUAUGCUU